rnacentral:rRNA from 1 species
CCUACGGUGAGCAGCAGUGAGGAAUAUUGGUCAAUGGACGAGAGUCUGAACCAGCCAAGUAGCGUGAAGGAUGACUGCCCUAUGGGUUGUAAACUUCUUUUAUAAAGGAAUAAAACGAGGCACGUGUGCCUUUUUGCAUGUACUUUAUGAAUAAGGAUCGGCUAACUCCGUGCCAGCAGCCGCGGUAAUACGGAGGAUCCGAGCGUUAUCCGGAUUUAUUGGGUUUAAAGGGAGCGUAGAUGGGUUGUUAAGUCAGUUGUGAAAGUUUGCGGCUCAACCGUAAAAUUGCAAUUGAUACUGGCAGUCUUGAGUACAGUUGAGGUAGGCGGAAUUCGUGGUGUAGCGGUGAAAUGCUUAGAUAUAACGAAGAACCCCGAUUGCGAAGGCAGCUUACUAAACUGGGACUGACAUUGAUGCUCGAAAGUGUGGGUAUCAAACAGGAUUAGAUACCCCUGUGUC